rnacentral:rRNA from 1 species
GAUGAACGCUGGCGGCGUGCCUAAUACAUGCAAGUCGAGCGAACAGACGAGGAGCUUGCUCCUCUGACGUUAGCGGCGGACGGGUGAGUAACACGUGGAUAACCUACCUAUAAGACUGGGAUAACUUCGGGAAACCGGAGCUAAUACCGGAUAAUAUAUUGAACCUCAUGGUUCAAUAGUGAAAGACGGUUUUGCUUUCACUUAUAGAUUGAUCCGCGCCGCAUUAGCUAGUUGGUAAGGUAACGGCUUACCAAGGCAACGAUGCGUAGCCGACCUGAGAGGGUGAUCGGCCACACUGGAAGUGAGACACGUUCCAGACUCCUACGGGAGGCAGCAGUAGGGAAUCUUCCGCAAUGGGGGAAAGCGUGACGGAGCAACGCCGCGUGAGUGAUGAAGGUCUUCGGAUCGUAAAACUCUGUUAUUAGGGAAGAACAAAUGUGUAAGUAACUAUGCACGUCUUGACGGUACCUAAUCAGGAAGCCACGGCUAACUACGUG